UUAAGUUCAGCGGGUAGUCCUACCUGAUUUGAGAUCGAACAUUAAAAAGCUGUCCUCACCGAGGAGAGACGUCUAUGAGCCCCAGCGAACCUCCACUGCUGAAGGUUACCUGGUGGACAAUCGCAAGCGUAGAUAGUUAUCACACCUGCGACGCCACCAAACACUGGCAAGCUGAUUCAUUUGAGAGGAGCCGACCAUAG
rnacentral:misc_RNA from 1 species